AGUUGCAAUAACAGUUUGACGAAGACCCACAUGUAAUCCCAUAUUGAUGGUUGUAGAACUCAUACCAACAGAUUUCACUUUGGGAUAUAAUGGCAAGUUGGGAUGAGAAACUUCUUACAGCUGCAAAGGAGGGGAAUAUAAAAGAGGUAGAAUUAUGUGUAAAGAACAGAGCUAACUUGGAAUGUAGAGAUCGUUUA